rnacentral:tRNA from 1 species
CACGGGGCUGGCCGACCCGCCGCGCGAUCUGGACGCCUUCCAUGGGUUCGGCGACGCAGUGAUGCGUUCCGGACGCAUCGCCGCGC